ACGCUCGACACCUACGGAGGCAGCAGUAGGGAAUCUUCCACAAUGGACGCAAGUCUGAUGGAGCAACGCCGCGUGAGUGAAGAAGGUUUUCGGAUCGUAAAGCUCUGUUGUUGGUGAAGAAGGAUAGAGGUAGUAACUGGCCUUUUAUUUAACGGUAAUCAACCAGAAAGUCACGGCUAACUACGUGCCGGCAGCCGCGGUAAUCUGAGCGGGCUGGCAAGGC
rnacentral:rRNA from 1 species